CACGGAGUUAGCCGGUGCUUCCUUUGGAGGUACCGCCACUCGCCUUGCGGCGCAUUCGUCCCUCCCGACAGUGGUUUACAACCCGAAGGCCGUCAUCCCACACGCGGCGUCGCUGCGUCAGGCUUUCGCCCAUUGCGCAAUAUUCCCCACUGCUGCCUCCCGUAGGAGUCUGGGCCGUGUCUCAGUCCCAAUGUGGCUGGCCAUCCUCUCAGACCAGCUACCCGUCGUCGCCUUGGUGAGCCGUUACCCCACCAACUAGCUGAUAGGCCGCGAGGCACUCUUUCGGCGCAUUGCUGCUUUCACCAACCGAGGAUGUCCCCGAAUGGUCGUACGCGGUAUUACCCGGCCGUUGGGCCGGCUAUCCCCCGCGAAAGUCAUGUUCCUCACGUGUUACGCACCCGUCCGCCACUGAACUGGAGUUCGCCCCCAGUCCCCGUUCGACUUGCAGUGUGUUAGCACGCCGCCAGCCGUUCGUCCUGAGCCAGGACUCGAAAACCUCUCCUGACGACGUGCCGAAGGGA
rnacentral:rRNA from 1 species